CCCAAGAGAUCGGGAUAACACCUGGAAACAGAUGCUAAUACCGGAUAAUAACAGAUGAUGCCUAUCAACUGUUUAAAAGAUGGUUCUGCUAUCACUCUUGGAUGGACCUGCGGUGCAUUAGCUAGUUGGUAGGGUAACGGCCUACCAAGGCGAUGAUGCAUAGCCGAGCUGAGAGACUGAUCGGCCACAUUGGGACUGAGACACGGCCCAAACUCCUACGGGAGGCAGCAGAG
rnacentral:rRNA from 1 species